UCUUAAGACAAAGCAAAGAAGAACCUAGAAAAUGAAAGAGAAAUCAAGCAGAAUAUCUGAUGAAGUUAUGACUGAAGCUUGUAUAUCAUGGCCUUUAAUUUUUUUUUAAGCAG